AGAGUUUGAUCCUGGCUCAGGAUUUCGCUGGCGGCGUGCUUAACACAUGCAAGUCGAACGGACUCAUAUUGAAACCUAGUGAUUUAUGAGUUAGUGGCGGACGGGUGAGUAACGCGUGGAUAACCUGCCGUAUACCGGGGGAUAACACUUAGAAAUAGGUGCUAAUACCGCAUAAGCGCACGGCUCCGCAUGGGGCAGUGUGAAAAACUCCGGUGGUAUACGAUGGAUCCGCGUCUGAUUAGCUAGUUGGCGGGGUAACGGCCCACCAAGGCAGCGAUCAGUAGCCGGCCUGAGAGGGUGGACGGCCACAUUGGGACUGAGACACGGCCCAAACUCCUACGGGAGGCAGCAGUGGGGAAUAUUGCACAAUGGGGGAAACCCUGAUGCAGCGACGCCGCGUGAGUGAAGAAGUAUCUCGGUACGUAAAGCUCUAUCAGCAGGGAAGAAAAUGACGGUACCUGACUAAGAAGCCCCGGCUAACUACGUGCCAGCAGCCGCGGUAAUACGUAGGGGGCAAGCGUUAUCCGGAUUUACUGGGUGUAAAGGGAGCGUAGACGGCAGCACAAGUCUGGAGUGAAAUCCCGGGGCUUAACCCCGGAACUGCUUUGGAAACUGUGCGGCUGGAGUGCAGGAGGGGUCGGCGGAAUUCCUCGUGUUGCGGUGGUGUGCGUCGCUUUUGGGGGGUGCCCCGGUGGCGGNGGCGGCUUCCUGGUCUGUGUCUGCCGUUGUGGCUCGUNUGCGUGGGGCGCCCCCAAAGAUUGGAUNCCCUGGUAGUCCACGCCCGUAAACGAUAAAUAUAGGGUGUUGGUGGGGCAAAGCCCCAUCGGUGCCGCCGCAAACGCAAAAAGUAUUCCACUGGGGGAGUACGUUCGCAAGAAUGAAACUCAAAGGAAUUGACGGGGACCCGCACAAGCGGUGGAGCAUGUGGUUUAAUUCGAAGCAACGCGAAGAACCUUACCAAGUCUUGACAUCUCCCUGACCGGUGAGUAAAGUCACCUUUCCUUCGGGACAGGGAAGACAGGUGGUGCAUGGUUGUCGUCAGCUCGUGUCGUGAGAUGUUGGGUUAAGUCCCGCAACGAGCGCAACCCUUAUUCUUAGUAGCCAGCAGGUGAAGCUGGGCACUCUGGGAAGACUGCCAGGGAUAACCUGGAGGAAGGUGGGGAUGACGUCAAAUCAUCAUGCCCCUUAUGGCCGGGGCUACACACGUGCUACAAUGGCGUAAACAAAGGGAAGCGAGAGAGUGAUCUUAAGCGAAACUCAAAAAUAACGUCCCAGUUCGGAUUGCAGUCUGCAACUCGACUGCAUGAAGCUGGAAUCGCUAGUAAUCGCGGAUCAGAAUGCCGCGGUGAAUACGUU
rnacentral:rRNA from 1 species